UACGGGGGGGGUAAGCGUUGUUCGGAAUUCCUGGGCGUAAAGGGCUCGUAGGCGGCCAACUAAGUCAUACGUGAAAUCCCUCAGCUUAACUGGGGAACUGCGUGUGAUACUGGAUGGCUUGGAUUUGGGAGAGGGAUGCGGAAUUCCAGGUGUAGCGGUGAAAUGCGUAGAUAUCUGGAGGAAUACCGGUGGCGAAGGCGGCAUCCUGGACCGGCAUUGACGCUGAGGAGCGAAAGCCAGGGGAGCAAACGGG
rnacentral:rRNA from 1 species